rnacentral:rRNA from 1 species
UGGCGGACGGGUGAGGAAUACAUCGGAAUUUGCCCAGUCGUGGGGGAUAACGUAGGGAAACUUACGCUAAUACCGCAUACGACCUAACGGUGAAAGCGGGGGAUCGCAAGACCUCGCGCGAGUGGAUGAGCCGAUGUCGGAUUAGCUAGUUGGCGGGGUAAAGGCCCACCAAGGCGAAGAUCGGUAGCCGGCCUGAGAGGGCACACGGCCACACUGGCACUGAAACACGGGCCAG